ensembl:lncRNA
AGCUGCUGAGACCCCCUAGAAGUGGUAAUGAAAAGUGUAACUUUAGCCUCCCAGCUGUACGUCUCAAUCCAUAAUCCUUCCCCAAAAACCUCACCAUAGAGCCGCCUGCCACUCCCAUGGCGUGCCCAGCCUACACCUCACCGGGCCUUCACGAUUUAUGUAGCACUCCGGAUUCAUACUCUCAACCCCGUAAAAAAAAAGGAUUUGCUCUCUCUUAUAUGACCCGGGGUGGUCAGGGGAGCACGGUGGAAACACAAAAAAGCCCAGUGUCGGAGCCUCACUCCCCAGAUAUGAUUUCUCCUUCAACACGGGGCCAUACCUUGGGAUACUUUAGGACACCAGGCCGGCGUCCGAGCGACCGGAGAGGUUGGGUGGUGGCAGAUCAGCGUGUGGAAGCCAUUCAGAGGUCAGAGACCAUACGCCAAACUCCACCAGAGCCACAUGGCCCAGGUUUUGGUAUGCAGAUACGCAGCCCAGUAAUGAAGCAGCCCAGGCCUGUUCAACGGUGCAGCCCGCAGAGAGCCGCUCGAGGGGAGAGCGUUCAGAGCGCCUGCACGCGCGCGGCCUAAUGAGGAAACAAUCAGCUGCAGCGGGUCAUCACUCUCCGGUCUCGAGCCAUACACACACGAGCCACGAUUCACUGCGCACAUUCGUUGGUUGUCAAUAGGACCACUGUCCAUCAUCGUCAGUUGACGGACAGACUUGAACCAAAAGAAAUCGCUCAAUUUCCCAGGAUGCGGUCUCCAUGGCUGAAGAGAAACAACACACAACCUGACGGGCAAGAGACAAUCAUACUCAGGAACGGCCCCUUCCCCAUCACCGCUGGCCGUGUCAAGCUUGGAAAUGGAUCCCGGCCGCCUCUGAAGCAUUUAGCACCACAAUUAUCCCCCCAUUCACAGGGCUGCCUGCGCUAAUGUAAACCACACCAGGCACUAGCCGUCAUUCAACCGCAGUAAAAAAAGGCAAUGCAGAAACCCAUCCUCUGUGACAGCAAUUUGACGCAAUUCCGUCCCUGUGUCACCGUUGCUACAAAUAGGGGUCAACUCAUUUAUUAAGCAAUUUCUAGGUCUUGUUGGGGGGGAGCUGGCUCCUUGUCUGUUGGGCCACUUAUAACCCUAAAAGCAUCCCAUAAUGUGUAAUGUGUCCGACAUCAAACACACCAGAAAAAGAAAGAAGGGUAGAUCCCAGCGCCCGACCCCAGCACGGGAUGGUCGCUGGGAGGAGACGGUGGGUUGGGGACCACCACCACAGACAGGGGCGAGUCACAGAGGACCCACAGCGGGCACGGACGACUCAGCCACGCCGUAGGACGUCCACGCGGCCGCUGGGUGCUCUCGGCCUGGGCUGACCUUUAGGCUUCUGACAGCCAGCUAAUGGCGGCCUGGCUGGCGAUCAAUGCUCCCGGAGACCCGCCGCCGCCGCCACCGCCAUCCCUGCCCUUUUUCCCCGGGCCAGGAACAGAGGGGGGACGGGCGAGAGAGGCCUGCCACAGAGCCAUUGACCCCGGCUGCUCUCUCUCCCUCCGCCCUGGCGUGGGGUGUUGGCUGCCGGCA